UACGGAGGGUGCAAGCGUUGUCCGGAUUUAUUGGGUUUAAAGGGUGCGUAGGCGGCCCGUUAAGUCCGUGGUGAAAGCCAACAGCUCAACUGUUGAACUGCCAUGGAUACUGACGGGCUUGAGUACAGACGAGGUAGGCGGAAUGGAUGGUGUAGCGGUGAAAUGCAUAGAUACCAUCCAGAACACCGAUUGCGUAGGCAGCUUACUAGGCUGUAACUGACGCUGAGGCACGAAAAGCGUGGGGGAGCGAACAGG
rnacentral:rRNA from 1 species